CUAAAAAUAUAAAAAUUAGCCAAGUGUGUUGGCAUGUGCCUGUAGUCCCAGCUACUUGGGAGGCUGAGGCAGGAGAAUUGCUUGAACCCGGGAGGCGGAGGCUAGACGGAGCCAAGAUGGUGCACUGUACCCCAGUUUGGGUGACAGAGCAAGACUCUGUCUC